rnacentral:rRNA from 1 species
UACGAAGGGGGCUAGCGUUGCUCGGAAUCACUGGGCGUAAAGGGCGCGUAGGCGGCCAUUCAAGUCGGAGGUGAAAGCCCAGGGCUCAACCCUGGAAUUGCCUUCGAUACUGUUUGGCUAGAGACCGGAAGAGGUAAGUGGAACUGCGAGUGUAGAGGUGAAAUUCGUAGAUAUUCGCAAGAACACCAGUGGCGAAGGCGGCUCACUGGACCGGUAUUGACGCUGAGGUGCGAAAGCGUGGGGAGCAAACAGG